GAUGUCAUAGAUGGUAUUAGAGCAUAAUUACACAGAUCAAAUCCUCUACAUUGAGGCCUUAGGUAGAGAAACUCUUAGAGUACCUAGGAAGAAUAAGUCCUCUUUUCAAAAAUUAGACCACCAACUCGUGUCUUCUUUUCUUUUAUAGGAAUUUCGUGAGGAAGACAAUUCGUAGAGCAUACCGAGCGACCUAAAGCCUAUUAUCACUCGAUCAGGACUGAAUUUUCUAAACUCUUCUGAGCCAUUCAAGGAUUGA
rnacentral:lncRNA from 1 species